rnacentral:rRNA from 1 species
CACGUAGGGUGCGAGCGUUGUCCGGAAUUAUUGGGCGUAAAGAGCUCGUAGGCGGUGUGUCGCGUCGGCCGUGAAAACCUGGGGCUUAACUCUGGGCGUGCGGUCGAUACGGGCAUCACUGGAGUUCGGCAGGGGAGACUGGAAUUCCUGGUGUAGCGGUGAAAUGCGCAGAUAUCAGGAGGAACACCGGUGGCGAAGGCGGGUCUCUGGGCAACUACUGACGCUGAGGAGCGAAAGCGUGGGGAGCGAACAGG